GGCCGUAUCAGCCUGAAGGCGCCCGAUCUCGUCUGAUCUCGGAAGCUAAGCAGGGUCGGGCCUGGUUAGUAUCUUGGAUGGGAGACCACCUGGGAAUCCCGGGUGCU
rnacentral:rRNA from 1 species